ensembl:lncRNA
UGGGGAACCGUUGGUGCUUUGUGGCGAACCCGCCGUGGGGCGGGGUCACGUGCGCGCGCUGUCUGUUGGCCGGUGUGCGCGCGCCACCGCAGGGUCCAUGCCAGUUAGUGGGAAGUCCGCGCCCUCAGGGAGCGCUCUCUUGCCGCUCUCAGCCCGGGAGCCGGAGCCCCGGGCCGCCCACGCUGAGCCGGACUAAUGCUGUUCCUCAUCCAAACCUUCAUGAGACAAUUGGGAAACUGAGGCCGGGAAAGGCAGGGUCUGGCCUGGGGUCCAAAAGAUGGGUAGACCCCAGAGAAGGGAGGGUUCCAACCUUCCCAUAAGAUUUACUUUGGGAAUGAGAGACCCUAAUAUCCUGGGAGACCCCUUCCCACCCCCUCCUAUGUGGGGCUCUUUCCUCUGGGCAUCCCCACAUGGGCACAGACACACGCACACACACACACACACACACACUGACUGCCCGAGUGGGGUCUGGAAGGGAAAUGGACACUGGGAGGUGACAGGGGAAAGAAGCAGGAGGUGGAGGCAGCUCUGCCAGGGGGCAGGGGCAGCCGGUCCCCUGCCAUGUGCCUGGGACCCAUAGCAUGGGGAGGGGGAGAGAUGCCACGCUGAUGGGCAGGGGGUCCCCAAGGUUCCCGGGGUCUGCCCCAGACACGCACAUCCUAGAGACAGCUCCCUACCCAGCUCACUUGGCUGGACACGCUCUGGAGAGCAGCACGCUCUCUUGCUGUAUCCCCAUGUCCCGAGGCUGUGGCUUCAAAAACGCCCGCAGUGAGAGCAUCUUCCGACGCUGCAGACGUUGUCAGGUCUCACCUCAGACGCUUCUGGCCAUUUGCCUGAAAGGACCCAAAGGUGGAGGUCUGUGCCUGAUCUGGGAGCAGAAGGUCAGUGGGCAAAAGAAGCAGGGAUGAGGCCAGGCAGGGCUCUGAUGCCUGGGGGCCGGCUGCUGGUCACCGUCUUUGCAGAGCUCCACGCAGGAGAUCAGGGAGGAGCUACUGGAUGGGGACACUCACGCUGUCUCCCUGAGUGAGGGGCAGGUGUACCACACCACCAGCGGGGUGGCUCCGGGUGAGUGCAGGCUUGGAGAGGUCUCUAGAACCAGGGCCCAGAGGUGGCUGGGGAAGGCCUCUUGCCUAGAAGCCACCCAAGUGACUACCCAGGGUUCUGCCAAGGGCUUUGCCCCUGAGUGGCCACAGCCCCAACCCAUGGAGUAUGAGUUCCUCCCGUCCUCUGCCCUCGCCGUUCAGCCCCAGCCUUGGGCAGGUGCAAAGUCACUUUUCACAUGGUUGCAAGAUUGUCAGAACCAAUCUUUUAUACACUGUUGCACUUCAGGAUGUGAACACAAGUAUUUUUCUACAGUCCAUUUUUUGAGUUGUCCCUCUUUGUCCGAAAAUGAGUCCCAGUGUGAAAAUGAGUGGGCCUUGAACCUGGAUGAGACCCGCAGGGUGGGGACAGUCAGUGCAGAUACCCUGGAGAAGCUGUGGAGCGCCUGGUGCCUGCCUUCCAGGGCAGCGACCUCUCCUGUGUCACCCUCCUCCUGUGCACCUGCCGAGCCUUCACCACCCAACAGGUCCUGGACCUGCUGUUCAAAAGGUGGGCGCCCCGCCCCUGCACAGCACCGUGGCUCCCUGCCCACCUCCUGGCUGUGUGUCUUGGGAGUGUCCCUUCACCUCUCUGAGCCUCAGUUUGCUCAGGCCUGGCCCUGUGGGGAGGGCUGCCGAGGGCUGUGGUUGUCCUGAUUUAGGACUUUCCUCUCCCCCGUGAAGCUCUCUGCCUCAAGCCUCAGCACCCUGUGGCCUUGGACACAGCUGCUUUCCCAUUUCUAAAGGAGCCUUCCAAUUCCCUGGGGGGGUCCCAGCCUGGGUGCAGGCAGAGCAGGGAGCCCUGGGGGCUGCCCGGGGCCCAGGCCCACUCAGAUGUCAGCAAGGUGCUGGUUGGGCUUCAUUCAUUCAGCAAAUGUAUAUAAAGCCCCCCAACCCGCCAUAUACAGACACGAAAACCCGUGUCCUCCUGGGCUCCAGUCUGAUUGGGGAGUCAGCCAGUCCCACUAGACAUCAGAGCAGGUGUAUGCAAUGCCCUCCUGGCCUCCUCUAGAUGUGGAUUCUUUCAUCCUGAUUGCGACAAGGACAGCAGACCCCAGGACCGAGCAGGAAAUGACUGGGCUUUGAGUCAAGAAGAAGGGCUUGUGUCUCCAAGGUGGGGGACAUCUGAGGUCUGUGGCUGGGGGGCGGGGCAUAACACCCUGGCUCCCACGCAUUUCGUGAUUCCUGCUAGAGGGCUGAGGUACGGAGGCUUCUCCUGUAGAAGGAAAGGAGUCAGAGAGCCGCAGAUGGGGUCCCGGGCCCCCUGUGGAGCAGAGAAGAGGCUGGGGCCUCAGAGCUGGCCCCUGAGAGAAUCCAACCCCACCACAGCCCAUCCCAGCCCUGCUCAGCACCCCCUGAGCCGAGGGCCCAGGAAGGAGGUGUGGGGAGCCACCUGCUCACGCAUCAGCCUGGUGCCUCAGUCCUGCAAGGCCAGCUGCAUGUGGGGCUGGGCCGGCUGUGUCCCCAUUCCCAAGGAUAGUGUCAGGGGGGAGACGAGACCCACACAGGCCUCGCAGAGAGUAAGACAGCACAGCGGUGUAUGAGCGGCAGGCUGAGGUGCCACGAGGGCCCCGUGAAGGCUGGGCAGCAGGACACACUCCGCCUGGUCCCUCCUCCCUCACAUGUGCGUGCAGCACUUACUGCGCGCCUGCCAGUGCGAUGAACAGAGCAGGCACCGCCCUCCCUGUCCUCGUGGAGUUGACAUUCCAGUGGGGAGCGGCCGGGGGACAGGCAGGAGUGCGUCGGGUUCCCCGAGGAAGGGAGAGGUGGUCCCAGCGUUGACGGAGGGCUCCCUCCCAUGGAGACUUCGCAGGCCAGCCUGCUGACCAGGCCUGCCCCUGCUGGACCGUCACGUGGGGGUGGGCUGGGGUGGACUGGCCUCUGGAUGGGCAGGGGGGCCCAGGAGCCCAGCCCCCACAGGGGUGCCAAGGGAGGGCCACGUGGAAGGAGAGGCCAGGCCUCCAACUCUCCUGCCCACCCACCUACCUCCAGUGCCAUCUCCUCCAUCCUGGGCACCUGGCUGGACCAGUACCCAGAAGACUGCCAUCAACCUCAGACUUUGCCAGCCUACAUCAGCCAAUGGUGCUGCUCAGUGUGCCUGGCUCUGACCUGGAGCACCGUGUCCAACUUCUCCUGACCCCGCUGGGGUACCUGGAGCCCACUGAGGCAGAGCCCAAGAGUGAGAAAGCCUGGGGUGGGUACAUGUGAGCAUAUCAGGAGGGGUUGGUGCUGGACACACAGGAAAGAAUCCCCCAGACUGCAGUGUUGGCCUGGAGCAAAGACUGGCCUCAGACCACCCCUCUGGCGGACUGCGGUCAGGAAAGAUGUCGUGUUGUGGGUUCCUGGGCUGGAGCUUCUCUGGAAGGCUCUGGGAUGUGUUCUGUCUUUGGGAAGGCACAUGGAGAGCAGGCGGGGGGCAUCUUUUCUCCUCCUGUAGUUCCAGCACCAUCUCAGUACUUCGCACUGGCUCCAGCUCCGGUUCCCCUACAUUCUGAGGAGCCAGGUACAGGUGCAGAAGCCAGUGCAGAAGUAAAGCCCGCUCCAGAGCCGGAGGAACGUCCACCUUCAGCUGUAGUACCACCUGCAGCAGCUGCUCCAGAGCUGCAGGCAGCACCGAUAUUGGUUCCAUCAGCAGUGCUGGGAUGAGGGCCGGCAUCUGGAGCAGCUUCUAAAGGAAGCUGAGAGCCAGCUCAGGACCCACCAUCCCUGCAGGGAGAACCAUCACCUCACCUGCACCUGUGCCUGCUUCUACGGGAGACCCUGAGCUGCUCAGGACCCACCAUCCCUGCAGGGAGAGCCAUCACCUUACCUGCACCUGCUCCUGCAGGAGACCCUCAGCUGCUUAGGACUCAGGACUUCUGCAGGAGAAGCCUCACCUGGACCAGCUCCUGCUCCUGCAGGAGAAGGAGACCCUGAGCCAGCUCAGGACCCACGACCCCUGCAGGGAGAGCCAGCUCUGGAACUGCCGUCAGCGCCAGCUCCUGCGCCACAGCUUCAACCUGCUCCCUCACCAGAACCUUCCUUUCCCUCCCUGGUUAUUGUUUUUGUUUGGGUUUUAUUUUAUUUUUUCCUUUUACUCUCUUAUGGUUUUUUAUACUUUGUGAUUCAAAAUUUAAAUAUAAUAAAUUUAAGCAUUUCACUGUGUUAAACAAUUCAU